rnacentral:snRNA from 1 species
GUGCUGGCUCCGGCAGCGCACAUACUGAAACUGGAAUGACACACAGAUUAGCAUGGCCCUGACACAAAGGUGACACACAUUUGCGAAGCCUCUCAUUCAUUU